rnacentral:lncRNA from 1 species
GACCUGCACUGCAUGGAAUCUUUAAGUGGAGAAAAUUUCCUCAAGUUUAUACAAAAGGUAUGUUGAUAAGUAGAGAUGUUUUGGUGUAUAUUAUAGGAUUAAGCACAAAUUUUCGAGAGGGUAUUGAUGUGUCAACCCAGGUUAAAGAAAAUACUUUUCACAUCAUAUUUUUUUUAUGAAAACUUAGUUAAACCACCCAUACAUCACUUUCAAUUCAUCAUGCUUUGCAUUGGCAUAAGCCAAUUUUGUCCGGCAUGGAACCAGUGUACGAUUGACAAAGGGUAGUAAUUUGUUUAAAAAGUGUGUAAUAACAGAAUCAAAUCGGUAAUUGGCAAAUGGACUAUUAUACACUACACAAACAAAUGUUUGGAAGGGGAAUAUAUCAGGAUCACCAUGUCUGUCCAUCCAUUCUUCUGUUUCAGCCACAAAACGUUUGUACCUUAAAACUAAGAAGAUGUGUUAUGAUUGCCAACAAGACUACAAAGACAUAGGUCACCAUAAAAAAUUUAAAACAAUUCAAAGGACUGAUUUAUGUUCAAAACACUAUAAACAAAAAAACUAAUACAAUCUACAACAACAAACAACAACCACUGAACGACAGUCUCCUGAUUUGGGACAGGCAUAUACACAAUGUGGCAGGGUUAAACAGGUUUUCUGACUUCUAACUAUCUCUCUCUCUAACCUGGAAGGUAGUGUAACAGUACAACAUAAAACAAACUAUAAAAAUAUGUCAAAAAGGGCUUCACUACAAUACACCACAUCCCUGUCUGGAAGGAUCAAUUUUGGAGAAUAAUACUGUGAACUAUACAAGCCUAUAUACGGUACUCAAUUUCAUAGCAGCAACUAAAAUGCAUGAACAGGAAGUUUAGGUCAAACUAUGCUUUGUAUGUAAUUGGUCUGUUAUAUGAAGACAAGUUCCCUUUUGAUUUUGAGAAUUUAUUGACUUGUUACAUUUUGUAUUUCAAGAAUAUGCUUUGUGGAUUUCGAACCUGAGUAAAAGACAGCACAUAAUUCCUUAAUCCUUCAUUGAAAGGUUGUUAACCAAAACCCUCAGAUUUUUAACAUCUAACCAAUCUAAAAAUCUAGUUUUUUUUUUUUAAUGUGGCGAGUGUCAUGAUCAUUUAAUGUAAUUUUCAUGCAUGACUUUUAAUCUCUCAUUUAGUAAAUAAGCUGAGUGUUUCUGUUGUUAUAUAUAUUUUUGUUUCCAUCAAAGCAGUGUAGGUGAGGGAUUCAUGUCCCUUUCUAAGCCUCUUUUAAUGUGAUGUUUCAAAGUUUACUAAUAACACUUCUUGUUGAAAUAGGAGUGUGAAGGUUCAUUAGAUUGUAAAAUAUUGUUGAAAAAGAGUGUAUUUUAUUGUUUCUUUUUUAGGAGGGAAGUACUAAAAAUUUCACUGAAGCUUACAGAGCUCUCCGUAAAGUGAUAGAAGAUUACUCUGAAUUGGACAAAUCGUGGUUACAUGAGUUUUGGAGGUAAACGAUUUAAAGAAGCAUCUUUGAUGAAUUUAAUUUUCAUAUGUAGCAAAAAUGUUAGUCAUGAUCUUGUGAAGCAGAGAGGGUGUUAUGGAAUGCUAAUGGCAAUUCAUCCGAUAAUGUAGGUCCUCUCACACCUAUACAUUUGUAGUUCAAAUCAAAUUCAAUAAAAUUGAUGAAAAUUUUACAUGAUAAUUUCUCUCUCACCUACUUUUCUUAUCAAACUUUAAAAAUGUUUACAUCAGCAAUAUGUUGAACACGUUUAAAAUCAUAUAUGACAUGAAAAAAAGCAACAUUUCAAGCCUUCUUGGGAAAAUAAGAGGUCCUUUAAAAAUGAUUUAUUUUGUUCUUAUGAUAUGGUUUAUAUGAUACCACUGAAAGCAUUUUUAAAAAUUCUCAUUAAUCCUUAAACUUUCUUCAUUCCUUUUAGUUCAUCAUCUCAUCACUUUUGUCCCAGUUUCACAUUACUGUAUUGAGCUCAUACAAUAAGCUUCAAUUAGAAAUUCUAGUGUCUAGAUAGUAUCUAAUGAGCAAUAUUUUCAACAUGUGGCCAUUUGGAUGAUAUAUUUUUUUGCACAACUCAAAUACAUUAUGUAGAAAGUUCCAAUUGAAUCAGAAUCAUGACAGUAAUAUUGCCUAAAAAUGACAAUACAUAAUAAUAGCUGAACAGCCGUGGUGUAGUGGUUAGUGCAUUGGACAACUAACACAAAGGUUCCUGGUUCGAUUCCCUUCUGGGAUGAAAAUUUCAGGGACUUAAUUUUCGGCUCUCCCUUGACACCAUUUGCGAGUAUGGUCUUGAGGAAACGACUAUAGUCCGUCGGAAGGGGACGAUAAAUGGCUGACCCGUGUUAAGAGAGAGCCAUAUCUCUUGCACGUUUAAAGACACUCUUGUAGAUUUCGAAAAAAGAGCAGGCUAAUGCUGCUACAAGGCAGCACUCGCACCCGCAAAGUGGAAAGGGAUUAAUAUAAGUUGAAAAACUUGUUUCCCAAUCCACUAUAAAUAAAUAUGUUUAAACUAAUUUUCUUUCAAGGCAAUUUUGCUUCAAUUGGGUAUUUAUUGCUGCUUUCUUAUCAAUUCAGAUGUUGUUUGCCAAAUGGAAAAAUUGCCUAUUUAUGUAAAGACCAUAUGAGCAAAGUUGGAGCCACAAAAAUACGACAUGGGACAAGACAAGUACGACAUGUACUUACAGACCAAGAUAAACACUUUAAGGAGGCAUUAUCAGAAAAUCCAGUGAUCCUGCAGUUAAAACAAGAAGGGAUAACAAUGAAAGACCAUGUAGUAAAGAAAAUAGAACCAAAAACUACAGACGAUUCUAAAGGUUUGUAUUCAAUUUCUCUCAUAUUUUUUUCUUUAUGAAAAUUACAGUUGAUUUUUUAUCUCACUUGAAGGGUUAGUGUGAACUAUUACCAUUGUCUGUCAUUACUCAUCUGCCUUUCGUCAUAGUCAUAGUCAAUUAAUUUAAACAAAAUUCUUAUUCUCUGAAACAACCUUGCAAAAUUUAAACCAAAUUUGACAACAAUCAUCAUUUGGGUUUCAAAUAAUUUGUCUGAUGAUCCCAACUGCCAACUUACAAAGCUGAAAUGGAUAAAAAAUAGAAUGCACUUGUUUGUCUACUACAGUUUCAGUUAGAGGUUGAAGAGGAUAUUCCUGUAAUUUUUCAUGUUAAAAAAAAGCCAUUUAAGUCAUUGGUUAUAAUAAGCUAUUUAUUUUUCUAUGUUGAUAUUACCUUGAUUUCUCCUAUUAGUAUAUAAUAUAGUUUAUUCAAGAAAAUGAUAGUGAAAUCUAAUAUUAAAAAAAAAAAAAUGGACUUAUACCCGCAAACCCCCUUAAUCACUAUAAAAGCAAACAAAUAUAUCAACAAUGAAAAACAAAAUAGACUAUAGGUCAAAGCACGUAAGCAAAAAUGAAAAACAAGAAUGCAAAAAAUGGCAAAAUCUGUCUUCGAAAGAAGCAUGCAUUUGUGUUUUAAAAGUACUUUUACUCUGUUAACUAAUUGGAGUAAACAAGGUAAAAUCAAAAUAAAAAAAGAACUAAAUUACAGAAAUCACUUUUACAAUUUUUUAGUUUAAGUACAGCUUAUUUAAAAAAAAAUUAUAAAAAAUAUAGGUCACCGAUGAGUUCAAAAGUUAUUUCAAUUUUAAUGCAAAAAAUUGGCAUGCUUUUACCAAAGGGAGAUAAUUUGGAGCUUUUCAAUGAUAUAAACAUUUUAAAAGUCAUCUGGGGACAAAAUGAAUUGAUUUUUUUGGUUGGUUUUUAUACCAUUUCAUAAAGUAACAACUAAAAGUGUAACAAAUAAAAUUUGUGACGAAAAAAAUCAUGUUUUAAUAUUUACAAAAAUUUUUGUACCCUCUAGCCUCCUUAAGCAGAAAAAAUAGACAUUGGAUUCCAGAAUAAUGUGGUCAUGAAAUUUUUUUUUAUGUAUUUUCAGGAGAGAAUGCAGAAGAUCAAAAUGUUCCCUCUGAGAAUAAAGACAGCAGACUACUAAAGAGUCGAGAGUCCUCAGCCGAGAGUGAAACUUCACAGCAGUCUACCUCAUCUAAACGCUCACAAAAAUCUCAGAGACGCACAAGUCAAGCAUGUUCGUUGCAGUGAUAACAGACCUUGUUUAUUACAGCAAUAAAAAUAUAUACUGCUAUAACAGUAUACACACAUUACAGUAAUAACAGAACACUACAUUUUAUAAAACUCUUAAAGUCUAUUUGUAACAAAACUGGUAGAACAUGAUCUUGGUAGCAAUAGAAGCACAUGUACAUUAUAGCAAUAGAAAAACAUGUUUAUUGUAGCAAUAGAACAUGUUCAUUGUAGCAAUAGAAGAACAUGUUCACUGUAGCAAUUAAUAGAAGAACAUGUACAUUAUAAUAUUAGAACAUGUGCAUUGUAGAUGUUUUAAAAUUAUUUUUUUGGGGGGAAAUCAGCCUGUACUGUCGUGUGACGUAAGACCACAAAGCAAAACACUUUGAUUAAAAGUUGUUAAAAUUAUAAUAAGAAAUUAACAUCUGAAUAGAUUGCUGAAAUUUUGAAUGUAUUGCUUUAUUGACUCUGAAUUACAACGAAUCAGUAUUACAGGAAAUUUUUCAGGUAAUUAGGGCCCCGCCUUUAGGCGGGUCGCCCUAUAGUGAUCAGUCUGUCCGUCCGUCCGUCUGUAACACUUUAACUUUGUGUCCGCUCCAUAUCUAGAGAACCAUUAUGAUUUCAUACUUUAUACUUUACAUGUUUAUUAACUACCACCAGAGGGCGUGUCAUGAUGUAUGUACAACUUCCUAGGUCAAAGGUCAAGGUCAAAAACUUUGGUUUCAAUUGACAACCCUGUGUCCUGUGGUGAAGAUCGUGUCCGCUCUAUAUCUUGAGAACCGUUAUGAUUUCAAAGUUUAUACUUGACAUCCAUUUUAACCAACACCAGAGGGUGUUUCAUGAUGUAUGUACAACUUCCUAGGUCAAAGGUCAAGGUCAAAAACUUUGGUUUCAGUUGACAACCCUGUGUCCUGUGGUGAAGAUCGUGUCCGCUCCAUAUCUAGAUAACCGUUAUGAUUUUAUACUUAAUACUUAACAUGUUUAUUAACCAACACCAGAGGGUGUGUCAUGAUGUAUGUACAACUUCCUAGGUCAAAGGUCAAGGUCAAAAACUUUGGUUUCAGUUGACAACCCCGUGUCCUGUGGUGAAGAUCGUGUCCGCUCCAUAUCUAGAUAACCGUUAUGAUUUCAAAUAUUAUACUUGACAUCCAUUUUAACCAACACCAGAGGGUGUGUCAUGAUGUAUGUACAACUUCCUAGGUCAAAAGGUCUGUCUGUCUGUUGGUCUGUCCAUCGCUAACAAAUUUGAUCCACACUAUAUUUUGAGAGGACAGCUGUUAUUAUUUCAUACUUUAUACCUGACAAACAUUUUCAACUUAACAUAUAUAUUAACCAACACCAGAGAAUGUGUCAUAAUGUAUGCAUCCUAGGUCAAAGGUCAGUCCGUCGGUCUGUCCAUCCGUUCGUUGUUCUUAACAAAUUGUGUCCGCUCUACCUCUCGAGAACCAUUAAUAUUUCAUACUUUAUACUUGACCGUCUGUCUGUCGGUUUGUACAUGACACCAGAGUGUGUGUGACACCAGAGUGUGUGUUACCAGAGUGUGUGUCAAAGGUCCGUCCGUCGGUCUGUCCAUCAUUUCCAACAUUUAAUUAGCAUUCUUUUUUGGAGGGUCAUAAUAUAUU